GUGCAAUGGAAACAGCACAGCGUGGCUGAGAAGGGCAUUGUCCAGACGCCGUGGGGUGGAAAGUCCAGCGGUCACGGCCAGCUUGUCUUCGAGAGGCUGGGCUUUGUAUUGAAGUGGGCAGCUCCGGCACAUACCCUAGACAACACCACUAAAUUUAGCGAAAAAAAAAAAAAAUCCAAGGGCAGUCAGGAGGGGCAAAACUGCAGUUAUCAUAAUCUUAGGCAGGGUGCCUUUAAAACUGUGUUUGAAUAAAACCAAUUAAUACUAUAACUUCGCUUCAGAACAGAGACUACUGCUGAGUUUGCGAGCAGCCCGAAUCCGCCUUGGUGAGUUAGGACAGCCGAGAGUUUGGGGCCUGGGUUCGUCUUGCUAAUGAUAUUCCAAGUUCUUGACUUGACUCUGAAGCCUCCGCCGUUAAGGGGAGGAUCACGGGAACUGGCACAUUCUGGAGAGAGGACAUCUGACCUUCCCGAUCCCAGGGGCUGUGGGUGGGAGAGAAAACAGAGGUUAUUUUUAUAGGACUGUACUAACACGGCUGUGGCCGGACAGCUUGGGGGAAAGGCCAUGCUUGUGCAGGUUUGGGGACAGCGAUGUUUUCCUAACAUUUCAGCAGCCAAAAAAUCACUUCGGAUUCCGCCCAAGGCCAGAGCAUUCCUCAUCCCUCCCCCUGACCUCUCCACCCCGCCCUACUGCCCCAGCCUCUGCUGGCAGUUUAGAAAGAGGGAACAAGGCUCCCGGGGACCCAGACUCUUCGCUCCUGCCCUUGGUCUCAGCCUUCGCUCACCAGCCCCUUCCUGUACGCUGGAAUUCGUGCUCCAAAGUGAGAAAAACUCAAGCUGUUGAUGGAAAAGACACACUGCGCAGAAAUCUCCCGGAUUCUUCUAGUUCCGUGGGUGUUUCCUGGCUUUAAAAUCCUGAGCAAGUGCAUUGGAAACCUAGCCCUCCCUCCUCCAUGUAACAGCUGCCAACGGUGCGUGCAAAAAAGAAAAAAAUAUCUGAGGAUGGCCAGGAAGUGGCUUGAUGGACUGGAAGAGAAGCCAAGUUCAUCCUCUGGAAAACUGCUGGCUCCAUCAGCGAGCUGUUCGCGCCCUGUGCAGCCAGUUCCAGACAGGUAUGGGCCCGAAUGGAGUUUUCCAGUGAAAGGAAAUGAAACGAAAACCAAGACCCGCUCACAGCUUAUAAAGUUCGGCUUCUGCCCCGAUAUCCUGCCAAAAUCCGUUCUUUGGAGCUUCUGCAAAGUCAGACAGCCCCAUGCUAACUUCAGUGUCUCUUCUGCCGUCUCUGGGCUUGAGUGCCCCGUGACCCUGGGAUCACAGGGGCAACAAUGUACUUGUUCAUGGUCACGUGGUGUACAUUUCAACCCAAGCUAA
rnacentral:lncRNA from 1 species